AGCAGUGGGGAAUAUUGCACAAUGGGCGCNANNNNGAUGCAGCAACGCCGCGUGAGGGACGACGNCNUUCGGGUUGUAANCCUCUUUUAGCAGGGAAGAAGCGAAAGUGACGGUACCUGCAGAAAAAGCGCCGGCUAACUACGUGCCAGCAGCCGCGGUAAUACGUAGGGCGCAAGCGUUAUCCGGAAUUAUUGGGCGUAAAGAGCUCGUAGGCGGUUUGUCGCGUCUGCUGUGAAAUCCGGAGGCUCAACCUCCGGCCUGCAGUGGGUACGGGCAGACUAGAGUGCGGUAGGGGAGAUUGGAAUUCCUGGUGUAGCGGUGGAAUGCGCAGAUAUCAGGAGGAACACCGAUGGCGAAGGCAGAUCUCUGGGCCGUAACUGACGCUGAGGAGCGAAAGGGUGGGGAGCAAACAGGCUUAGAUACCCUGGUAGUCCACCCCGUAAACGUUGGGAACUAGUUGUGGGGUCCAUUCCACGGAUUCCGUGACGCAGCUAACGCAUUAAGUUCCCCGCCUGGGGAGUACGGCCGCAAGGCUAAAACUCAAAGGAAUUGACGGGGACCCGCACAAGCGGCGGAGCAUGCGGAUUAAUUCGAUGCAACGCGAAGAACCUUACCAAGGCUUGACAUAUACGAGAACGGNCCAGAAAUGGUCAANUCUUU
rnacentral:rRNA from 1 species